rnacentral:lncRNA from 1 species
AAUCUACAUAUACCCGCAUCUGACUGGGAAGCAAGAUGAGCUCACAAUGAAUGCUAAGUUGUAAUUCUUACAUCUCUUGAGAUUUUUCAGAUGGUGUGGAAUGUGAAGGGUCCUGGAGGUCUGCCAGAGUGGAUCUCCAUCCUGCAGGGGCUGAGGCACCCAGCUGCUACCAGUACUACCACCAUGUCACGUGGACCUUCUUUUUUCUUCUAAAUCUCAACCAUAUUAUCUAUAUGGCUGUGCAAGGAAGAUCAAUAAGGAGGAGCUCUAACAAUUUCCAUUGGUUUUCUGCAAUCCAAACCGAGAUGAUCCAGGCUUAAACAAGACGUAGGGAGUCUAGGGGUAGAGAAAGGCUGAUUCUUUGCUGUAUCUUACAGGAGGUCUACGCUUAUGAAUUCCAGCUUUUCAGGUGGAUAAUUUGACAUGAAGGUUUGUUCUUUGAACAUUUUUAAUCAUUCUAUCCUGCCUCCCAAGGCUCCCAAGAGACAUUUUACUGAAAUAGAAGUAAAAUGCUAAAUACUUUACUCACCUUUUCCUCUAAUUCUGUGUUUUGACCUUUUUUAAGUUUUCAUCUCACAUGCUAUUAUAAAUAACCUGAGGACAGGAACAUAGUCUGUGCAGUUCUCUCUAAUCAGCAUCUAUUCCAGCACCCUAUGCAAUGAAACACUCACAAAAUAUUUCCUAGUGAUUAGACAAUAGUUUACUGUCUAAUUGAAAUGAAACUCAAAAGUUGGGACCUUGUUUUAACAUACUUUAUGCAAUGUCUGAUGUGAAGGAAAAUCACAAAAUAUG